GGGGCUGUGGCGCAGUUGGCUAGCGCGAUUGACUGGCAGUCAAUAGGUCACGGGUUCGAAUCCCGUCAGCUCCA
rnacentral:tRNA from 1 species